AACGAACGCUGGCGGCGUGCCUAACACAUGCAAGUCGAACGAGAAAGGGGCUUCGGCUCCGAGUAAAGUGGCGCACGGGUGAGUAACACGUGGGUAACCUGCCUCUAAGAUUGGGAUAACUCGUCGAAAGAUGAGCUAAUACCGAAUAAGACCACAGUUCCCGCGGGAACAGGGGUCAAAGGUAGCCUCUGCUUGCAAGCUAUCACUUAGAGAUGGGCCUGCGCACCAUUAGCUAGUUGGUAGGGUAACGGCCUACCAAGGCAAAGAUGGUUAGCUGGUCAGAGAGGAUGAUAAGCCAACCUGGAACUGAGACACGGUCCAGACUCCUAGGGGAGGCAGCAGUGGGGAAUAUUGCGCAAUGGGCGAAAGCUUGACGCAGCAACGCCGCGUGAGUGAUGAAGGCCUUCGGGUCGUAAAGCUCUGUCGGGAGGAACGAAUGCUCCUGAGGUUAACAGCCUCGGGAGGUGACGGUACCUGCAAAGGAAGCACCGGCUAACUCUGUG
rnacentral:rRNA from 1 species